GUCGGCUCCUAAGGCGAGGCCGAAAGGCGUAGUCGAUGGGAAUGCAGUUAAUAUUCUGCAGCCUGGUGGUAGUGACGGAUCUCGUAAAUUGUACAUCCUUAUUGGAUUGGUUGUGCAGUGAAGAGGUUCCAGGAAAUAGCUCCACCGUAUAGACCGUACCCCAAACCGACACAGGUGGUCAGGUAGAGAAUACUAAGGCGCUUGAGAGAACUAUGUUGAAGGAACUCGGCAAAAUGCUCCCGUAAGUUCGCGAGAAGGGAGACCUCCACUUAGGCAACUAGGUGGGGGUGGCACAGACCAGGGGGUGGCGACUGUUUACUAAAAACACAGGGCUCUGCGAAGUCGCAAGACGACGUAUAGGGUCUGACGCCUGCCCGGUGCCGGAAGGUUAAGAGGAGAGGUGAGAGCUUUGAAUCGAAGCCCCGGUAAACGGCGGCCG
rnacentral:rRNA from 1 species